AUAGGGGACGGAUUAGUUUUGGGGCCGGAACGACCUGUUACCGUUAAUUUAUACCACUAAAAUCUACUAGAGUUGUCUUUCUUUAAGAAGCAGAAGACACUUGCUGUGAAAACGGAAAUGGCUGCCGAAUUCUGAAGAAAAGUUUAUUUUAGGGAUCUUUACAGGAUGUUGUCCACUAAGCUAAUGAUGGGGAUUGUAGCACUACCCUGCACACAGACAUGGAAUGGAUUUGCCCAGUCCAUUAUUAGAAGAGUGACCAGGACUGUUCGUCUCAUCAGAGAAGUUUCUCGAGAAGCAUUACAAGGGACUUGUAUGAAUGGGCAGAAGAAUUUUAUUUAACUGACCACCCCAUCAUUGCCUGCUGUUGGAGACUGAACACUUUAUUGAAAAUUGCUGGGUGUAGCAAUCAGUGGGUGUCCUUAUUUGCCCUGAGAAGAGUCAGAGAAGUAUUCAUUUUUAUUGCAAAAAGUUUAGUUCAUGUAAUGAGCAUGAACACACAUUUUACAGUUAUCUCCCUUAGACUAUGUAAAUUAUAAUACAGCACUUGCUAUUGAUGUUAUUUUACAUAUUAAUGUUGAUUGAAUGUUGUCAAUUUGGUUCAUAGUCAAAGAUAUGAGUUAUAGCUGCCUGUAUUGUACCAGUUUACAUACAGUUACCUACAGAAUUAACAGUAGAUUACAUGUACCUGACUCCCCAGGUUACCUGAGUGAUUAUUGCUGUUGGUCUGCAUCCAUCAUUGUGUUUCGUCUGUCGUGCAUUACCAGUAUUGAACAUGUUAUAUACCUGUCUUUAGAUGGGACGUAUUAACUUAAGGUAAAGCAAUGUCUGUAUGUCCGUCUGUAAAUGUAAUGUGAAGUAUUAUGGUACAGCAAUGUCUGUAUGUCCAUCUGUAGAUGGGAUGUAUUAUGGUACAGCCAUGUCUGUAUGUCCAUCUGUUGAUGGGAUGUAUUAUGUUACAGCAAUGUCUGUAUGUCUGUCUGUAGAUGGGAUGUAUUAUGGCACACCAAUGUUUGUAUGUAUGUCUGUAAAUGGGACGUAUUAUGGUACAGCAAUGUCUAUAUGUCCGUCUGUAGAUGUGGAGUAUUAUGGUACAGCAAUGUCUGUAUGUAUGUAGACUGUAGAUGGGGUGUAUUAUGGUAUAGCAAUGUCUGUAUGUCCAACUGUAGUAGGGAAGUAUUAUGGUACAGCAAUGUCUGUAUGCCCGUCUGUAGAUGUAAUGUGGAGUAUUAUGGUACAGCAAUGUCUGUAUGUCUGUCUGUAGAUGGGGUGUAUUGUGGUACAGCAAUGUCUAUGUCUGUAAAUGGGGUGUAUUGUGGUACAGCAAUGUCUGUCUGUAGAUGGGGUGUAUUGUGGUAAAGCAAUGUCUGUAUGUCAGUCUGUAGAUGUGGAGUAUUAUGGUACAGUAAUGUCUGUAUGUAGAUGAGACAUAUUAUGGUACAGCAAUGUCUGUAUGUCAGUCUCUAGAUUGGGUGUAUUAUUGUGCAGCAAUGUCUGUAUGUCCGUCUGUAGAUGUUGUGUAUUAUGGUACAGCAAUGUCUGUUUGUCCGUAGACUAUAGAUUGGGUGUAUUUUGGUACAGCAAUGUUUGUAUGUCUGUCUGUAGAUGGGAAGUGUUAUGUUCAAUCAAUGUCUGUAUGUCUGUCUGUAGAUAAGACGUAUUAUGGUAUAUCAAUGUCUGAACGUCUGUCUGUAGACGGGGCAUACCAUGGUACAUCAAUGUCUGUAAGCCCGUUUGUAGGUGGGACGUAUUAUGGUACAGCAAUGUAUGUAUGUCUGUCUUAAGAUGGGAUGCAUUGUCCACCAUCUGAAUACUUUAUUAUGAUGUAUGAAAUGCCCUCUAAUUUCAAGAAUUUUAGGGGUUUUAGGGCGCUGAAAUAAGAUUUCAUUCCCAUGCUAAAAAAGCAGGUAUUUUCCCAUUUUGUACUUUGAAAUUCCCAAAGAAUGAAAACAAAUCAAAGCAGGGUAGCCUAAUUGUUCAUAAAUCUUCACUGGCCCAUAAAUUACAAUUUUUGCCUCAAAUUUGUUAUGUAGACUUAAUAUUGUGGCCUCUGCUUAUUUGAAUGAAGUACGUAAGCUUUGACCAAAUUGAAAGUCAGAAAGAGUCCAGUUCUAUUCACUCUGGAUUGGUUUUCUCCCUACUUCUUUGUAUGAAACAUUUCUCCCAAGUUCAAACAAAUGCCAUUAUUUUUCCCAAUUGCAAAGGCCCAGACCCUUCCAAUGAAAACCUUAAAAAACCAGAAUUUAAAAUGUAAAAUCCAUUGCCCCUUUGCCAAGGUCAGGCUCCAAAACAGGGUCAAUAUAGGAAACUUAUCAUUGCCUUUGUAUCCUUAUUAUUACAUAUAACCAAUGCUCAGGUGACCGAUAAAGCCAGUGUUUAAGUCUCCUGUUUAGAAGAUAACAAGCUGACUUCUUUUGACAAAAUUCAUGAAGAUUUUAAUUUGUUGAAACUUUCAUUUACUUGUCUGAUUUCUGGUCAUUCCAGCACUCAUUGUCACUUUGGUUUUUCAGCUCCCUGGGCCUCAUGAGAUGGUGACACCUUGCAGUAGGAGCAGUUCCUACCGAUAUCUCUUAAAAGCAGACAGAGGUUCUCAUAGCAUCUGAUCCAUUUCUGAAGACAAACUUUUGUAUGGAGCUGGGUAGCAGUUACGUAGAUGUCCAGCUUAUUGAUGAGGAUAAUUUCCCUGAGACUCUAACAUUUUGUAGGACAUGGAUAGCUUUAUUGCUGUAGAAAAUGUCAGGACGGUGGAGAUUUAGAUAAGUGGUGUGAUGUUAUUGAUGGUAAACAGAAGACUGUGACCUUGAAUCUGAAGAUCUGUGAUGAAGACUGGACGUUUGGGGUCACUCUCUGUUACAGUACUACAAAUCUAAGUACUCAGUAAUAAUCAGUGUAAUGCUCAGCCACAAAGAGGUUGUCUCUGAUGUCCACACAUAAACCUACUGGAUCGUAUAAAUCACAGUGAAUGUAACGGAGGAACUGUCCGUCCUGAUCUAGGAUGUGGAUACGGUGAUAGUCUGCUGUCAGGAUGUGACUCUGGCUGUCUGUAGUGAUACCGACUGGACUAAAUGAUUGCUUGGUAUUAGAGGGAUGACCAGUGUAUC